rnacentral:rRNA from 1 species
CCUGGUUGAUCCUGCUAGUAGUCAUAUGCUUGUCUCAAAGAUUAAGCCAUGCAUGUGUAAGUAUGAACGAAUUCAGACUGUGAAACUGCGCAUGGCUCAUUAAAUCAGUUAUAGUUUGUUUGAUGGUAACUACUACUCGGAUAACCAUAGUAAUUCUAGAGCUAAUACGUCCCCGACUUCUGGAAUGGAUGCAUUUAUUAGAUAAAAGGUCAAGACGGGCUCUGCCCGUUGCUCUGAUGAUUCAUGAUAACUCGACGGAUCGCAUGGCCUUAGUGCUGGCGAUGCAUCAUUCAAAUUUCUUCCCUAUCAACUUUCGAUGGUAGGAUAGUGGCCUACCACGGUGGUAACGGGUGUCGGAGAAUUAGGGUUUGAUUCUGGAGAGGGAGCCUGAGAAACGGCUACCACAUCCAAGGAAGGCCGCAGGCGCGUAAAUUAGCCAAUCCUGACACGGGGAGGUAGUGACAAUAAAUAACAAUACCGGGCUCUUUGGUAAUUGGAAUGAGUACAAUCAAAAUCCCUUAACGAGGAUCCAUUGGAUGGCAAGUCUGGUGCCAGAAGCCGCGGUAAUUCCAGCUCCAAUAGCGUAUAUUUAAGCUGUUGCAGUUAAAAAGCUCGUAGUGGAACCUUGGGAUGGGUCGCCCGUUCCACCUUCGGUGAGCACCGGUCGGCUUGUCUCUUCUGUCGGCGGUAUGCUCCUGGCCUUAACUGGCUGGGUCGUGCCUCCGGUGCUGUUACUUUGAAGAAAUUAGAGUGCUCAAAGCAAGCCUGCGCUCUGUAUACAUUAGCAUGGGAUAACAUCAUAGGAUUUUGAUCCUAUUGUGUUGGCCUUCGGGAUCAGAGUAAUGAUUAACAGGGACAGUCGGUGUAACACCCCCGAACCGUCUUAGACAUAUGGUCGAUCAACCGGCCAACAAUAAAACAAGAACAUGACGGAUCGACCGUCCAACACCCAGGGUUAGAGAUGAAUGAGCCGACAGGCCAGCCAACAAUCAAACAAGAACAUGAUUGACCGUCCAACCCAACACCAUGGUCCGGAAGCGCUACAUGACGGGCUAGGGACAAUCCGGUAAGAGUCACAAACUUUACUCCACGACCUAGACCAGUUCAUCCACUAACUCAUCCCGCUGCGUCAAGGCAUAAGGCUUUGCAACCCGUACCUAGAGUUAGCGUUUUCCGUUAGAUCAAGGCCUAAGGCUUUUCAACCCGUACCUCGACCUAACGUUGUGUUAGACCGGACUAGUCAAAUAUCAGAGUACUCAUGAAGCGCAUAUAAAACAAUUACUUUUAUUGAUUCAAGAAAUAUUCAUACAUUGAAUAAUUCAGGGAGUUUUUCAAAACCAACCCAUAUUUUCAAGUCAAACCUAAAACUAACCCCUUUUUUUUUGCCAUUACUAUUCAUCAAUGAAUUUUUCAAACUAUCCUUAUGUUUUUGAAAUAUUUACAAAAUUGCCAUUAUUAUUUAAUUUUUUAAUUAUUUCGAAAAUGACCAAAAACCAAUUACACCCUAAACAUUUCUUCUUAUUUACAACAAUGCCAUUAUCAUCAAUUUUGCAACCACCAUGAACUACCAUUUUUGAGCUUAUAAAAGCUCAAGAACUCAAUUUCUAACCACUUUUUUCUCUUUCUAAACCAACAAAUCUACAUUUCAUCUC